rnacentral:rRNA from 1 species
UACGUAGGGGGCUAGCGUUGUCCGGAAUCAUUGGGCGUAAAGAGCGUGUAGGCGGCCCGGUAAGUCCGCUGUGAAAGUCGGGGGCUCAACCCUCGAAUGCCGGUGGAUACUGUCGGGCUCGAGUGCGGAAGAGGCGAGUGGAACUCCUGGUGUAGCGGUGGAAUGCGCAGAUAUCAGGAAGAACACCAACGGCGAAGGCAGCUCGCUGGGGACGGUACUGACGCUGAGGCGCGAAAGCGUGGGGGAGCGAACAGG